AUUGAACGCUGGCGGCAGGCCUAACACAUGCAAGUCGAACGAGUGGCGGACGGGUGAGUGGUGUCUGGGAAACUGCCUGAUGGAGGGGGAUAACUACUGGAAACGGUCGCUAAUACCGCAUACCAUCAGAUGUGCCCAGAUGGGAUUAGCUUGUUGGUGGGGUAACGGCGCACCAAGGCGACGAUCCCUAGCUGGUCUGAGAGGAAGAACCGCCACCCUGGAGCUGAGACACAGGCCAGACUCCUACGGGAGGCAGCAGUGGGGAAUAUUGCACAAUGGGCGAAAGCCUGAUGCAGCCAUGCCGCGUGUAUGAAGAAGGCCCUCGGGUUGUAAAGUACUUUCAGCGGGGAGGCGUUACCCUAAGAAGAAGCACCGGCUAACUCCGUGCCAGCAGCCGCGGUAAUUC
rnacentral:rRNA from 1 species